AGUGACACAGAAGUUCUUUCCCAUGAGGAGCUCCUGCCAGUUACUCGGGUUGUGAGGAUGGACACACACCGGCCAUGUUCUGAAGCGGCUUACAUGCUGGGGCCUCUGCUCUGCCAAAGGGACAGACUUCUCUGUCAUCACUCCCCAGAAGCUGGAAGAAAGAGCCACAGCCAUGCCAGGAGUGGAGCCAGGGAGUGCAGGACACGGCAGCAGCAGCCACAUAGGAUGGGCUGUCUACACACAAGGAGGAGAUAGGAUUCCAUUCUUGAGAUGUCUUUGACUGCUUCUGUUGGAUCUGGUGGCAGUCCUUUCUGCAUUUCUCAGAGGAUCAUCAGUGCAACACCCUGAGGAAAGUAUUAACGUAGAAAUUACACAGUUCUACUGGAGAUUCACCUUUAUCCAAAUCGAAGAUGAAGCAUUUUGGGGGCAAUAAUAGGAUGUUAAUUGUUAAUCAGUUCUGGGUCCUGGGAAUAUGAGGGAGUUUAAUUAUCUAUAUUUUAUAUUCCUCUUUUAAAAUCUUUAACAUUUAAAAGUUUAAAAAAAACGUCAAAAAUGCCAUGAUUAUUUUAUCUUGAGAUAUUUAAGGAUUAGAGAUACUUGAAAAAUAUACACAAAGCAAGAGUCUGGCAUAUACAUAUUCCUGAUAGAAGCAAAACUGUGUCAUUCCAGAGAUUUUGACAUGUUGAAUGGCCACCGUGGUGAUCUACAGUCUUCAAGAACAGUACACUUACACCUUCAGGAGGAACUCCAGCUUCCCUGCAGCUUUAUUUCCUGAAGAGGUCAUGCUGACCAGAGAGGCAGCCACACUGAGCUUCUGAACCACCGUCCCCGCAGCUUACAGCUCUACAAGAGCUCCUUCUGCGAGGAAUACC